ACGGAGGAUCCAAGCGUUAUCCGGAUUUAUUGGGCUUAAAGGGUGCGUAGGCGGGUGUUUAAGUCCGAGGUGAAAGCUUGCGGCUCAACCGUAAAACUGCCAUGGAAACUGAAGACCUUGAGUGUAAAUGAGGUAGGCGGAAUGCGUUGUGUAGCGGUGAAAUGCUUAGAUAUAACACAGAACACCAAUUGCGAAGGCAGCUUACUGGGAUACAACUGACGCUGAGGCACGAAAGCGUGGGGAUCAAACAG
rnacentral:rRNA from 1 species